rnacentral:tRNA from 1 species
UGGGGGAUCGUUCAAUGGUAGGACGCCGGACUCUGACUCCGCGAAUCGAGGUUCGACUCCUCGUCCCCCAGCCA